ensembl:lncRNA
CUUGCACACUGAGCUACCGAGCUGGAUAAAUAUUGAACACAACCUCUGGGAUCUUGUGAUCUGGCUUUCAAAGGCACAUAUACCGUAGACUCAGAGGACACGCCCUGGCCCCGGCUCCAGACCUGCAUUGUCCACAGACUCUGUGCCCAACCUUUUUUAUGCUGGUGUUUGAACUCCGUGACCUUGCACAUGCUAACUACAUGUCUCACCAGUGAACUGCACUCCAACCCUCUGUGCUUCACUUCCCCACCUGUCAAGCAGAUGUGAAACUUUUUGAAUGGAUCAUAUCAAGAUAUUAUUUUGGACUGAGAGUUAAUGAUGGCAUGUGUCAGAAUUUUGGGGCAUACUGAACUGGCAGCUCUUUCUUCCUCGGUAUCAAAGAAGAUGCCUCCCUCGGGAAAGGCUGUGCAGGAAUGUACUUCACAGCCACUCAGUAGUCAGCACCUGAGAAGACCCUAGAGAAGAAAGAAAUGAACACUGCACCUCAGAAGGUCCUUUCUGACCCCUUGUUGAAAACAUCACGACAUGACAGAAGCUUACAUCCAGGCAUCCUAAGUGCCUCAGCUUUCCUUUCCUAAAAGCAAAUCAAUGUUUGGCGGAGAAUAAAAUGGUGCAUAUGCUUGUGGGGAGCAGAACGUUUGGAUAGAAAGGUGCUACCUUUGCUUCUGUUUUCUUUCAAUGUGUUGUUUCAGCUUUCAUGAGAAGAGCUUUU